ACCAUGCUGGGCAGUGCGUGUUUGAACAUUAUCCCCUUGACCCUUAAGUGAUUGCCCCGGGAACAGAAGUGUUGGCGGCUGUGUGCAUGUCCUUUACUGGAAAGCCUGAUGCGCCACCGGCGUUCCCACCUGAAGAGAUUCAGGUUCAAGGGCAUUGUUCUGAUAACGGCUGUCUGGCUGGUGU
rnacentral:other from 1 species